rnacentral:rRNA from 1 species
UAUUACCAGAAGCGACGGCAGGGUGAAGGCCAAGCUAAUGACUUUGCCUGACGAGCCGAGAGGUGGUGCAUGGCGAUCGUCAGUUCGUGGUGUGAACUAUCAGGUUAAGUCCUGUAACGAACGAGAUCCUCGUUGACAGUUGCUACUGUUCCAGAGAUGGAGCAGGCACUCUGUCGAGACCGCCUACGUUUAAGUAGGAGGAAGGAGAGGGCGACGGUACGUCAGUAUGCCCCGAAUCUCCAGGCGUACACGCGGCAUACAGAGGAUGGUACAAUGGGCGUNCGACACAGAGAUGUGAAGCAAUCCUAAACCAUCCAGUUCGAUGNGGGUGAAACUCGCCCUCAUGAAGUUGGAAUCCCUAGUAAAUCGCUUGUUCACCAUCGAGCGGUGAAUACGUCCCCU